rnacentral:rRNA from 1 species
GACGGGGGAUGCAAGCGGUAUCCGGAAUCACUGGGCGUAAAGCGACUGUAGGUGGUGAUGCAAGUCACUGGUGCAAAACUCUGGCUCAACCGGAGGAAAGCCAGUGAAACUGCAUGACUAGAGUGUGGGAGAGGUAGAAGGAAUUCCCUGAGUAGCGGUGAAAUGCGUAGAUACAGGGAAGAACACCGGAGGCGAAAGCGUUCUACUGGAACACAACUGACACUGAUAGACUAAAGCUAGGGGAGCGAAUGGG